GAUGAGAAGCUUCAACCAAGGUUCGACUUGAGCGCCAGCGAGAGAGCGUUGCCGCAGGCAACGACCCGAAGGGCGAAGCGCGCAGCGCUGAGUAAUCCUUCCCCCACCACCA
rnacentral:sRNA from 1 species